UAGCAGCUGCCGCCGGAGUAGCAGGAGUAGCAGCUGCCGCCGGAGUAGCAGCUGCAGCAGCUACAGCUGGGGUUAUACCUGUGAGUGGAUCAGGGCAGGUUCUGAAAUAUGUGAUGGGACCAGUAACGGUAAAAGCCUCGUUACAGCCAUCGCAGUCACCAUCACCAAAGCUACCCAGAAAUGCUAAGCGCCUUGCAAGUUGGUUUCUGCGACCGCAACCGUUGUUCUGUUCAGACUCACAGCAUUUGGGUUUCUUCUUCUCACAGCAUUUGGGUUUUUUCUUCUCACAGGACUCCUCAUCAUCACUGCUAUCAUCAUCACUGCUAUAUUCCCAAUGAUGGUGAGAUUUUUUGUGUUCCUUGUGAUGACGAGGAGGAGGAGGAGGAUACCAGUAAGUUGGCUGCUGAUGUUGGACAUUGGGCUUUCCAUCAAUAGUAACUUUGUUAAAGGCAUCAAUUAAAACCUUCUUUUGCAAAAUAUCUAAGCUAUCAUCUUGCUUGUAAGAGCACAAAUUUCCGAGACCCAUUUUUAAAGCUGAAAAGUUUUACUAAAGUUAGACUUUUGUGUGAUUUUUUUGAACAGAAAAUUCAAAAAAAUACUUUUAAAGAUAGAAAAGUUGAAAUGACUUUCCCUGUAUUCUGAAGAAGAAAUGCUUUGAUUGAUGGCUGCUCCUGUAGUUUUCUUUUUUAAAAAAACCGAUUUCUAGUUAAGUGAGUAAAAAGAAAUGGUAAGAACUGAAUUAAAAGUUGGAAUUUCCCCUUUCUUAUAUAGUUUUUUUUUUGUUUACAGUGGAUGCUUUCAGCAUAAACACAUGUUUUGUUUAUUAAAAAAAAUGACGUAUAAUCAUUUUUGGAGUUUCAUGAUUGGCUAAAACAAAAUAUUUUUAAAAAUAGAGUUAUAAGUCCCCAUAAAAGAAAAAAAAUACGUUGAUAAAGGCACGAAUCGCAAAGCUUCAAUUGUUUACGUUCAAGCAAAGCAUUAAUGUAAAUUCAAUUCCUAGAGGUUUAUUGGUUAGAUUGCUUAGUGCCUUUGUUCGUCAAGUUAGUGUUUCGAUGCCGACGGGAUAAUCGUGGGCGUAAAGAUUACUACACUAGCCGUUUUUUGUUUACACUGUGACGAACAACCACAAAUUCUAUUAUGCUAUACAUGGAAUUAAGGAUCAUUGUUUUGUUUGCAUUUAAUUAGUUUACUUUUUUAAAUUCUUUAAGUACGUCUUCUCUGAUUCUGAAAACAUUUGCUUAAGGCAAAUGUUCGCAUCAUGAACACAAGUUGUAGGCUAUCUUUAACUGUAUCGCAUAAAAUACAUCAAAUAUAUACAAAAUAUUCGAUUAUUGGGUUGGCUUUUUGAAGAAAGAUUUUCGUUUUCU